UUUGUUAUUUUCAGACUUUUAGUCUGGAUGUAGUCUGCAACGUCGGAGGUGUAUUUUAGAUCCUCUUCUUGUGAAUGCCAUAGUAUCGAUGAUAACAUCAACUGUUUGUGGUCAUGUCGUCUGCAUCGGAGGUGUAUUGGAGUCUUUUCCUGUGAUUGCCGUUGUAGCGGUGCUAACAACAGGAGAUUUCUCCAAGCAAAAAC